UGCAGCAAAGUAAUAGGCGUGGAGCCAAAAACAAAAAAAACCCCCAAAUUUUUCUCUCAUUUUCUAUUGAACUCCAGGAUUUGAAGUUUCAAACGCAGCCCUAGCCUAGCACUCAAUUCAGUUCUUCCCCAAUUUCUUAAACGCAGCCGGCAGCUCCCUAGUAACUGUUUUUCCUUCUUCCUUGUAUUCUAAAAGUUGCAAAACCCAGUUCAUCUGUGGGUGUGGGUCUGUGCUUCGAACCCCAUUCCCGAUCUCCACCAUUCCUUCAUCGAAACUCCUACCCCCAACCUCUGUAACCCCUUCUGAAAUCUACUCACUUUCCUCAGUGAAGCUUAGAGAGCACGCCAUGGGAGACCUCGCCGUUACUUCCAAGGAGGGCCCCAAGCUCCCCAUUCCCGGCCAACGCAACGUCCUCAUCACCAGCGCACUGCCGUACGUCAACAACGUCCCUCAUCGGCUGCGACGUCUUCCCUCGCUACUGCCGUCUCCGGGGAUACAACACCGUCUAUAUCUGCGGCACCGCCACCGAGACCAAAGCCCUGGAGGACAAGUGUAUCCCCAAGGAGAUCUGCGAUAAGUACUAUGCGAUUCAUCGGCAGGUGUAUGAGUGGUUCAAUAUUAGUUUUGACAAAUUCGGGCGAACUUGAGCAGACUGAGGUGUGCCAAUAGGCUGCCGGAGAAUAAUUGGCUUUCUGAGAACACAAUGCAGCAGCUAUAUUGUGAUACUUGCACACGGUUUUUAGCCGACAGGCUCGUGGAGGGGACGUGCCCAACUCAAGCUUGUGAUUAUACCUCUGCAAGAGGAGAUCAGUAUGAGAACUGUGGGAAGCUUUUAAACCCCACAGAAUUAAAAGAUCCCAAGUGCAAGAGAUUUUCAUACAGUAGAGUUUCUGGCAUCAGGGAGGAUACAUGCAAAUGAGUUUGAUGUGUUGGAUUGUAGCAGUGGAAGUGAGUUUACUACCCUGGCACUUACACAGAAGAAGAUGGAAGACUUUUCCCAACUCCAGAUUAUUCGUCACACAUUGACUAUCAAUGGGGUUUUGAAGGACUAAAGAAAACCAUUUGGAAGCUCUUAAAUGCCCCUGAUGGUGAGCGGAAUUCCGUAUCUUCGAGCCACAUUGAAGAAGGUAUAAAAUCAAGCAGUGCCCAUUGCAUCUCAUACUUAAUCAAGGAUCCUAGUAAGGCAAGGAAAGUUGAUGAUUUAAGACAGAAACUCAGGAUGCGGGGACUACGCUGCCAUCCAAUGUACUGCAGAAGCUCAACGCGAAUGCAAAUUGUUCCUCUCCUUGCUUCUCGAGCACAGGCUCUCAGGUACCUUUUUGUACGGUAUUGAAUGUUGCAAACAUGUAUGUGUUCCUUGGAGAAAGCGACGACAUUGUUCCUCCUCAGAGCACUGGUCACCAUUGUAAAUGGGCAAGCUCCAACAGCUGAUGAGAUUGCCACUGCUCUGAAGCAAGUCACCAAAUCUACUUCUCUGGAAUGUGAUUACGUGAUGCGACUUGAAUGUGGAUUUAUGUACCUUUUGAGAAGAAACGAGGCCUCCAUCAAGAAUAAAGGCGGACAAUGAAACACAUCAAAACAAGGCCUAUUACUAAAAGCUCAGCUAACCAACUGGUGAGGCGCCACUGCAUUCCUUUCACGAUAUAUUGCUUAAAGUAGCAACAUGGUAGGUCAGAUGAUAGAAGAGCAAUAGUCUAUAUAUGGAUGUACACAUAAUGUGCUGUUACUGACCGCCAGCCAUAAUUAUCUGAAGUGGUGUCACCAGAUCAGUUUUGAUUGAUGUCAGGCUAGCCCUUAUAAACAGCAAACUGCUAAAUGAAAAGGCAAAUGGUGAAACGUACAAAGGUUGA